GUGCUUGUUGUGGCAGCACAUAUACUAAGGUUGGAAUAAUAGAAAUAACAUUAGCAUGGGCCCUGUUCAAGGUUGAUACACAUAUUUAUGAAGUGCUCCCUAUUUUU